UACGAAGGGUGCAAACGUUGCUCGGAAUUAUUGGGCGUAAAAGCGCACGUAGGCGGCUUAGCAAGUCGGAUGUGAAAAUCCCCUCGGCUCAACCAAGGAAGUGCAUCCGAAAACUGCUGAGCUUGAGUACGAAAAGAGGAUCGCGGAAUUCCCCGGUGUAGAGGUGAAAAUUCGUAGAUAUCGGGGAGGAACACCAGUGGCGAAGGGCGGCGAUCUGGGGUCGAUACUGACGCUGAGGUGCGAAAAGCGUGGGGGGAGCAAAACAGG
rnacentral:rRNA from 1 species